CCGCCGGGCUUUCGGUGGCUGACUUCCCUCCUUCAGAGAGCGCGGAGUCGGGCGCCUUUGUCAGCCCUGCCCCCCGCCGGGACUGUGCGGCUCUCCUCAGCCCCACAGCCGCAGCCUGUGACCGUCCCCUCAUGGGGCUCGGCGCUGGCCACGGCCCCCAGGCCGUUCAGACGCGUAGUCAGAUCUCUGCUAGGAGGCAAAGUGUUAGCCACGUGCUGCCCGGCGCCCAGCUGAUGAGGAGGUGUUAAAUAGUAAGCCGUCGGGUAAGGCAGCAGCUAUGCCAGGCCGAGUCUCUGCUACCACGGCUGAACCGGAUUGACAAAUGAAAAUCCAUGUUCAGCGAGGAAUUGUAUGAGACCAGGAACUAGAAACAAGGAUGGGCCUGGCUGUGCGGAGGAGCAGAGAAGAAUAAGACCUGGAGAACAGAUCCAGUGCAGCUUUCGGAGGGACAGAAUGCACAGAGCGGGGUGAUGGCCCCUUUUCACCUUUGGGUGAGCUGCGUCUCACGGAGACAAUCAUCAGACUUUUCUUCAUUAUUGCUUUGAAGAACAAACCUGUACUUGUUUUAACAAGUCACAUCACAGGAGACGUUAUUCUACACUCUCCACCCACACAACCCUGGGAUUUAUUUUCAUUUGAGGACUCGUUAAACAUACCAGCAGUCAACCGAAGAAACCAACGUUGCAAGGCACAUAGGAUUCACCACCUAUAAAUCAUGAACUUUACUUGUGGGAAAGGAACGUACUUGCUUUGAAAUGGAAUGGUCACUAGUACUCUUCAUGGCUACAAGAGCUUGGCUUUAGCUUUUAGUUCUGUGACUCUGAGUGACUAAUCAUAGUGCCAUUACAUCCGUUUAAGUUCACGUGCUUUCUCUCUACCUUUCCUAUACAGAUGAGUCUAAGAAAAAAUAAAGAAAAUAAAAAGCAAAAGCGUUUGAUAGCCACUCAAGUGGCAAACGUGCAGUAGAAUUCAGUCCUACGGUAGGACCAAAUUUCACCUCAUAUUACAUAUUACGAGUGUUUUUAUCUGGAGCAGCAGUUAACCCACAACAACAUUUGGUCACGUUAACAGAUGGUUCCAAGCCAUUCUGGGAUUAGCCAGCAAAGACUAGGACGUUUUUCCUCUCACCCCUGCUUCCUCACAGCAACUUAUUGUGAAAGACAGGCUAGCUAUUUCCCUUAUCAUCUGAUGCAUUUUCUUAGGCCAGUUGCCCACAGCUAGGAAGCAGACUGGGAUGAGGCUAAUCCUAGCAGUGACAUUGAACGUCUGAGGCAUCAAAUGCAUCAUAAUAUUUGUGCCAUACUUUCCCCUAGCAAUAGCAUUCCACCUGCCUCAGAAAAGGGCUUUUGGCUUUAAUGUUGUGACUAUUUCUUUGCAGUUUUUUCAGUGUGUAUAAGGAAGUCUCACAUUUUCAUCAAAAUUAUUUUCAUCUGACCCACCCACGUAUGAGCUUUGCCUUUGUCUCACUUGGGUGCAGCAAGCCUCUGUAUUUUCCAAUUAUCUGGACUAAUACUGUGGUUACUGUAGAGAGCAGGAAAAGUCUGCUUUAUCUGGGGAGGAAGUGCAGAUCUUGCCUUCUUUUGGCUAGGUACCAAACAAGAAAAUCCAAAAGCCUCCCCUCAAAAAUAGUUUCAGAAACUGCUACUCUUCCAUUCAUACAAUCCCUGUCUACUGGCAAGAGAAAUGUUAACAGUGAAUCAGCUGGUCCCUGUUUCAAGGGCGUAUACAUAUGUACAUACAUACGUACGUGUGUGUGUGUAUGUAUUUUCAACUGAGCAGGCCCAGUAGUGUUUAGUAUGCAGAAACAAUAAGAUGUCUCAGAAGAAGUCAGUGCAGUCUCACUUUAAUGUGUUUUUACAUCUUUUUAGGAUUCACAAAGCCAGAAUAUAAGUACUUACACAUUUUAAAUAGGAAAGUAAUAUAUUCCCUAAAAGAAAAAUAAUUUGAUUAAUCAAGUUUGUCAUAAAAGUGGCCUCUGAUAGUUGAAACUUCAAGCUUCUAAGCUAAAAAAGCCCAAAUAGACAAAUUAUACUGAAAUCUUCUUUAAAGACCAAGCAGCUGUUUUAUUAAAAUAUUAAAUUUACAUUUUAAAAAGAAAUAUUCUGAUUAUUUCAAUUAUGAUAAUCUUAUGGAAGUGACAUGAAAUUCAUGACAAUAGGCAUUAUUCUGCCUUUGGAUAACUGCGUACAGAAUUUGGCCAAUCAAGCUUUGCCAUUAUCUAGAAAUGUGCAAGAUCACAUACAGAGAAAAAAACAUUGUGGAAAGACAAAUCCAAGAUACUGGAUUUCAACUUGAUUCUGAUUUUUCCCAGAGACAGCAGGUUUUCACGUCUGGGACUAGGAUGGGAUCCAAAGCCUGCUGUGAUGAGGCCCUUGGUUUAGACCCAAAGAACCAAUCCAAAUCUUACUGUUCCAAGAAACAGAAAAAGGAUUUGAGAAAAUACCAACUUUAUCCCAGAACACAACAAGUGAAUGACCUUCAAACAACUUGGAGCAGGUUGAAUUUACAUUUUACUUCAAAAAAAAAAAAAAAAAAAAAAAGGAAAGUACAUACAUGAGGGGAAAAAUGGGGUGAACAACAAUUAUCUGAGUUUUCUACCGUAUUCACCUACAGUUACCAACUGCGUUUGAAUCAGCAGGGCUCUUGCCAGCUGUCGCACACUUGCUUACAAUAUGAACAGGAUUGUGUAUCAAGGAAACAUUUUCAAAGUUGAGGCCCAAAUGGAAAUAGUAAGAUAUCAUACACAGUGUAAGUUUAUAAUACACAGCUUUUUUUUUUUUAAAUGACAUAAUGCAACAGCAGGAAGGAGAAGUAGUAGUUAACAGUUACUAACACUAGAAUAAUCAAAUUUGUAUGUUAUACAUAUACAGCAACUAACUGCUUUACAAAAAAGCAAAAUAAUACAAUAUAUUGUCACAUGUAUUUACAGUGUAGUAAAUAUACUUUUCUGUCAAAUUUUACACAAAAAGUAUUUACAGGUGAAUAUACUGCAUUAAAAAAAAUUGUGGGACCAACACUAAAAGUGACUUUCUGUGGUAAGUUUGUUGCAUAACAAUAAGACGUGCUUCAUUACAUUUGAAAAAAAAAAAAAUUAACCUUAGAAUGAAACAGAAAAAGCCCUAAAACCUACAACCCAGUUAGGAAUAGAGCACUGGAACGCUCCUAAAUGCUCAGUCCACGAUACUUAUUUGAAAUGUUUCCUGUUCUUGGAAACCUCAUGCACAUUAAAGCAGAAACAUUGGCAUAAUUAACAGGUAGGUUAUGCACUAUUCAAAUACUAUUGAAUUAUCUUUAAGUCAGGGAAAAUACAAACACAAACAAAACGUUAAUCAUCUUUACAGUACUUUAACUGUAGUUAGUGCGUAAUGGAUAACACGGUCUAAAACAGGUUCUAAAACAGGGGUGUCAAACAUACAGUCCCCAUGAUGUAUUUAUAUGGUCCACAUGUUAAAAAUCAGAUUUUUCUGAAUCUAAGUUUUCAUUUCAAAAUGCACAGAUUCCAUGGCUGCAGAGCUAAUCUUCAAAAAGUGACUAGAGUAACCACUGCAAUAAUGAGUGUCCUAGUCUGCCCUAGCCUGCCUCAGCCUGCCUGCAACAAUGACUCGAAGCUCUGAACUCUUAUGUCUCCUGUUUGUUAGCUCAGAUUUCAAGCCCAUUGAUCCUGAAGCAUUAUCACCAGCAACUAACUGCUGAUUACUACACAAAUGGAGUACCAGGAUGAGGAGAGAACCAAAGCAGACUGGACUGGGAAUGGAGAGUGGUGCUCACAGGAACGAAACAAGAGAAGGAUAGAGAAGAUUCAAAGCAGGAAAAGAAGAAACAAACAAGGC